rnacentral:tRNA from 1 species
GCGGAGAUGGUGUAAUGGUAGCACGAUGGGGUCAUAGCCCAUAGACGAGGUUCGAAUCCUCUGUCCGCA